rnacentral:lncRNA from 1 species
CUCUUUAUUUAUCUAUUUCCGCGGUCUUGUUUCCAGAUACGGUCCAGAAACCUUUUUAUUAUUAUUAUUUAUUUAUAUUUUAUUUUUUUCUUUUUUCCCUGCUCUUUUCUUGUGGUGACCACUUCAUCUCAACCUUACAAAGCCGGCUGAGGAUUUUCACUCUCCAAGGCUGAGACCAUCACGGAGCACACAUGCACAUACCCCUGCUGCGUUCCUAUAGCUCCACCACAGGGCAUUUAUGCCCCCGAUGACAAAAAUACGCUCACAAAAUCCGCACCUGUUGCCCACAGAGGAGCUGCUGGCCUCUGUGUGCCCGAGGCAUUGAGGUCAGUAUCCUUACCCCGGCCCUAAGGUGUUGUGGGGUCCUAUGGUGCCACCCCGGUCCUAACUCCCAUUGAAAAAGGAGAGCCGGUAACGCCCAGCUUAAGUGCCCUAAUGGCUGCAUGUGUAUUGCAGGAGGGGGAAAAGAAAAGAAAAGAAAAGAAAAGAAAAGAAAAGAAAAGAAAAGAAAAGAAAAGAAAAGAAAAGAAAAGAAAAGAAAAGAAAAGAAAAGAAAAGAAAAGAAAAGAAAAGAAAAGAAAAGAAAAAAGAAAGGAAAAAGAGUAUUUCUUCCUCUCUUUCUCUCUUUUUUCUUUGUUUUUGUUUGUGGUUUCUUCCCCAGAUUAUCAUUUAUCAGCACAAACAAAGUUUCCUUUCUAGCGGAAAGCUCCCCAGUCCGACCCAAGCCAAACAGGUGAGUUCAGGGGAGUCAGUGCAGGCUGAAUUUCUUGUACUGUGUCUGAGGAUCACAGUUCAACAGCUUCGGAAAGCUGGGGAUUUGGUUCCUGAAAGGUCUUCUGCAUCUGUUGGAGUUGCCAGACAAACCCUACACCAAGUGAAGUGCCAGAGCUGCUUCCUCCCAACCAAAAUUAACCAGGAAAGCCGUGUCUCCAUCCCAAGUGCCUGCAAAUAGCAAUUUCUUGCUUUAUUCUGGCAAAGCAUCUCAUUUUUGAUAUUGCUGGAAAAACAUCUCAUAUUCAUCUCAAAUUAAUAACCUGAUCAAUAAUACUAAAUGACUGAGAAUAUUAUUCAGUCUACAACUUCCUCGUAAGGGGGUGUCGAGAGGCAGGAGACCUUUUCUCCAUUAACACCAGCGACAGGACCCGCGGGAACGGGGUUAAGCUGAGGCAGGGGAAGUUUAGGCUUGACAUCAGGAGGGGGUUCUUCACAGAGAGAGUGGUUGCACACUGGAACAGGCUCCCCAGGGAAGUGGUCACUGCACCGAGCCUGUCUGAAUUUAAGAAGAGAUUGGACUGUGCACUUAGUCACAUGGUCUGAACUUUUGGGUAGACCUGUGCGGUGUCAAGAGUUGGACUUGAUGAUCCUUAAGGGUCCCUUCCAACUCAGGAUAUUCUAUGAUUCUAUGAUUCUAUGAUCAAUUUUACCUAAUAGUGUUGGAAAUCAGUAGUAAAUGUACGUCAGCCUUACUCUUCUAAUCACAUUUGGCUGAGGCAUUUAUUAACACUGAUUACUCCUUUGUUUUCACCGUUAAUUAUCUCUGGGUCCUUAAAGGUGCCAGUGUCUAUGAUUUCUAUAUCCAAAUCUGUCAUGAAGCUGUCCCAAAAGUCAAAUAAAAUCCGUAUGUGGGAUGCCUUUCUCA